GGCACAUGCGGCUCACGUCACUGAGACAUCAGCGUCAUUUUGCACAGUGCUGUGUCUGCGCUGUCCCUGAGUUAUCAGCUACCCCUGCCGAGCAGGUUGGGAAAGCGACAUGCCAUCCACGCCUGUGCAUCCUGCACCUGUGCCAGGCAGACUGUGACACAAAGCCAGGGUGAUGGGGUGGACCAAGCUUUGCUGCAAGAAUGCCGGGCUCCUGUCACUCCUUCCUCUGCCUCUCGCUACCACCGCCGAAGGUCUUCAAGGUCACGAGAUGAGCGCUAUCGGUCAGGCUCGUGUGAUCAGCCACUUCUGCAUCCUCCUCAGUCACCGUCUGCCUGGCCUCCUGGCUCUGCUCUUCUUUCUAGAGAGGUUUUAUGGCCUCGGGGAGUGUCACCCGUGCAAACGAGAAAGACACAGCUGAGAGCCUGAAUGAAAAGCUGGUGCCACCUCCACGGCGCCCCCUGCUGCUUCUCCAAGGAGGCUUUGACCCAGAAAACGUGUGGGGAUGGAACCAAGGAGGAUUUGCUCCCAAAUCCAACCUCCGUUAUUUCACAGAGGUCUUAAGCCCUGACACAUAUUGAGACCUUCUCUUACUCACGUGGGUGUCUCGGAGGCCCCUGUCGAGUUCAGGAUUGUGGAGGUGCCCGUGUGCUGUCAGCCUGCGGUGAACACUUCCCUCACCGUGUGUCAAUGCCACUGUGCGGGCGCCCUGUCUGAACACACAACACACCCAGACGUGCACACAGGCAUGAGUUCAUACAGCUUCAGUUCUCAUGGAAGCCAGUGGGGUCUGCCUUCCAUUUCAUAGAUGAGGAAGCUGAAAUUCAGGGAGGCUGCCCGAUGGCUGACGAUCACACGGGGCCGCUCCUCGCAGGAAGAUGCAAGCCCAGCUUUGGCCUGACAUGUUACCACACGGGAGAGGAGAUCCACGUCAGUCACCAUUGCGUCUGUUUCCUACAUUCUCUCUCCACGAUGCUGCAGCGGGGUUGAUAAACCCUGUGUUUACCUUUGGAUUGUGCCAUCUUCACAAUCCCAGCUACUCUACGAGAUAAGUGUGGUGGGUUGUGGUUGUCUCGCACUCUUCUCUCUCGAUAAAAGCCUGAGAGAGGUGGGUGUAGCAGGAGAUGGUGAUCUCUUGGUUUUGGGCGCGUUUUCUGUUCACCCGUGCACCUUACCUCACCUCUUCAAAGGCAGGAAGGCGUGGGGGAGAGAGGCACAUGGCGGGGGGGUGGCUGAGAGUGGGAGGGUGGGUGGAGGAGACCAACGCUUCAGCUCAGAGACUGCAGGCUCUGCUCUGGAGGGGAAGCCAGACCCAACGUGAGAAGUAUGGUUCAUUUAUCCUGUUUCUGUAAAAUUGUGAAAUACGGCACCUCUUCAUACACAAUCCCUCCUGUUCCCCAUCCUGACUUACGUCUCCACUGCCGUUAUAACCACACAACACUCUGUCCAUCUGUCUGCAUAUCUGUGUAUUCGUUAUUUAUCUACCUGUCAGUCAUCCAUUUAUCAACCUCUCUGUAUCUGUCUAGGCAUUCACCAAUCAUCUACUUACCUAUCAAUCAUCCAUGUAUGUCCACCAUCCAUCCAUCUAUCAUCAGACAUCUCAUCCAUUUACCCAAUUACUCAGCCAUUCUUCCACCAUCCACCUCCCUACCUCUCACCUUCUCCCAUAAGAAUACGAGGUCCACACAGGCCAGGAUCUCUGUUUGGUUCAUUCGUGUGGGCCAAGCACCUGAAAUAUUGCCUGGCUUCUAUAUUUUGAAGGAAGAUGAGGGAGGAUGACACGUUUGGGGAAGGGCAAGAAGUCAGGUAGGAGGGGCCGGUUAUAGCAUCUUGAGUAUCAUGCUUGGGAGUUUGGACUUCAUCCUGAAGAUGAUGGGGAACCACUUGAAGAUUUUAGGCAAAGGGCCAGUGAGGGCCAGUCAGGGUUUGAAGAUCACGUUAGCAGCAGCAUGGAGCCUGGGCUUGAAAGUGGGGGAGUCUGAACAUCCCUGAAUGCCUGAAACUGAUGUGUACUUAAGAGAUAUGUCGGGGCUGGGCGCUGUGGCUCAUGCCUGAAAUCCCAGCACUUUUGGAGACCGAGGCAGGUUGAUCACCUGAGGUCAGGAGUUCGAGACCAGUCUGGCCAACAUGGCGAAACCCUGUCUCUACGAAAAAUACAAAAUUAGCCGGGUGUGUGGUGGCUCAUGCCUGUAAUUCCAGCUACUCCAGAGGCUGAGGCAGGAGAAUCUCUUGAACCCAGGAGGCGGAGGUUGCAGUGACCCGAGAUCACACCACUGCACUCUGGCCUGGGCGACAGAGUGAAACUGUGUCUCCAAAAAAAAAAAAAAAAAAAAAAAAAAAAACUCAGUAUCAGUGAGAUUUGAGAAAUGCUCAAAUGAUAACAGCAAUAGGACCUGAAGGUUGGGUUAACAAGGAGGAACCUGAGAGGAAAUCAGGGUGACCUUGAUGUCCAGUAUCAUACUGAAUGGGCAAAAACUGGAAGCAUUCCCUUUGAAAACUGGCACAAGACAAGGAUGCCCUCUCUCACCACUCCUAUUCAAAGAGAGGAAGUCAAAUUGUUUCUGUUUACAGAUGACAUGAUUUUAUAUUUAGAAAACCCCAUCAU